rnacentral:tRNA from 5 species
GCGCCCGUAGCUCAGCUGGAUAGAGCGUCUGCCUCCGGAGCAGAAGGCCACAGGUUCGAAUCCUGUCGGGCGUACCA